UACGAAGGGGACUAGCGUUGUUCGGAAUCACUGGGCGUAAAGCGCACGUAGGCGGAUGUGUCAGUCAGGGGUGAAAUCCCGGGGCUCAACCUCGGAACUGCCUUUGAUACAGCACGUCUCGAGUCCGGAAGAGGUGGGUGGAAUUCCUAGUGUAGAGGUGAAAUUCGUAGAUAUUAGGAAGAACACCGGUGGCGAAGGCGGCCCACUGGUCCGGUACUGACGCUGAGGUGCGAAGCGUGGGGAGCAAACAGG
rnacentral:rRNA from 1 species